rnacentral:rRNA from 1 species
UACAGAGGGUGCGAGCGUUGUUCGGAAUCAUUGGGCGUAAAGAGCGUGUAGGCGGCCACUUAAGUCCUGCGUGAAAUCUUGCGGCUCAACCGCAAGCGGUCGUGGGAAACUGGGUGGCUAGAGUGCGGGAGAGGAGAGUGGAAUUCCUGGUGUAGCGGUGGAAUGCGCAGAUAUCAGGAAGAACACCCGUGGCGAAGGCGGCUCUCUGGAACGCAACUGACGCUGAGACGCGAAAGCGUGGGGAGCAAACAGG